rfam:TPA: Bos taurus chromosome 12, whole genome shotgun sequence.
UCCCUGGUGGCUCAAAGGUUGAAGCGUCUGCCUGCAAUGUAGGAGACUUGGGUUCAAUCCCUGGGUGGGGAA